rnacentral:rRNA from 1 species
CAGCCGCCGCGGGAACACGAAGGGUGCGAGCGUUAAUCGGAAUUACUGGGCGUAAAGCGUGCGCAGGCGGUUGUGUAAGACAGGUGUGAAAUCCCCGGGCUUAACCUGGGAACUGCGCUUGUGACUGCACAGCUAGAGUAUGGCAGAGGGGGGUGGAAUUCCACGUGUAGCAGUGAAAUGCGUAGAGAUGUGGAGGAACACCGAUGGCGAAGGCAGCCCCCUGGGCCAAUACUGACGCUCAUGCACGAAAGCGUGGGGAGCAAACAGGAUUAGAUACCCCUGUAGUCCCUGUCUCUUAUAA